rnacentral:rRNA from 1 species
AGCAGUCGCCGCGGGAAAACGAAGGGUGCAAGCGUUAAUCGGAAUUACUGGGCGUAAAGCGUGCGCAGGCGGUUUGUUAAGACAGAUGUGAAAUCCCCGGGCUCAACCUGGGAACUGCAUUUGUGACUGGCAAGCUAGAGUGUGGCAGAGGGGGGUGGAAUUCCGCGUGUAGCAGUGAAAUGCGUAGAUAUGCGGAGGAACACCGAUGGCGAAGGCAGCCCCCUGGGCCAACACUGGCGCUCAUGCACGAAAGCGUGGGGAGCAAACCGGAUUAGAUACCCCCGUAGUCCCUGUCUCUUAUAC